AAAAGCUCAAGGAUGUGAAAAUCAGGAAGGAGGACAUGAACAAGCUGGUGAUGAACUUCCUUGUGACGGAAGGCUACGUCGAGGCAGCCGAGAGGUUCCGUAACGAGUCCGGCACCGAACCGGAGAUAGAUCUUGCUACGAUAACUGACCGCAUGGCGGUCAAGAAGGCGGUGCAGUCGGGGAAUGUUGAGGAUGCGAUUGAGAAGGUCAAUGAUUUGAA
rnacentral:misc_RNA from 1 species